rnacentral:lncRNA from 1 species
CGCACGCAAAAUGAGACAGGGCUCCGCUUCUGACUUCUGGUUUUCUCUACACGUGCGACCCUCCACUUCUAACCUCUCUUCUUGACAUUUUGGGAGACCAAACAUCAUUUCAAAGGAUUGAUUUAGGAGAUUCAAGCAAAGAUUGAAGGUUCCAGACGAUCGAUCGAGACAUCCGAGAUCCAUACUUGAGGCUGGUUUCAGAGUUGGUGCUUGCAAC